rnacentral:rRNA from 1 species
AACGAACGCUGGCGGCAGGCCUAACACAUGCAAGUCGAGCGAGGUAGCAAUACCUAGCGGCGGACGGGUUAGUAACGCGUGGGAACGUGCCCAAAGGUACGGAAUAGCCUCGGGAAACUGAGAGUAAUACCGUAUGUGCCCUUCGGGGAAAGAUUAUCGCCUUUGGAUCGGCCCGCGUUGGAUUAGGUAGUUGGUGGGGUAAUGGCCUACCAAGCCGACGAUCCAUAGCUGGUUUGAGAGGAUGAUCAGCAACACUGGGACUGAGACACGGCCCAGACUCCUACGGGAGGCAGCAGUGGGGAAUCUUAGACAAUGGGGGAAACCCGUGAUCUAGCCAUGCCGCGUGAGCGAUGAAGGCCUUAGGGUUGUAAAGCUCUUUCAGCUGGGAAGAUAAUGACGGUACCAGCAGAAGAAGCCCCGGCUAACUCCGUG